CCCUUAGAUGUCCUGGGCCGCACGCGCGCUACACUGACAUGUUCAACAAGCCUCCUAGUUCGACAGGAUUUGGGAAAUCUUUGAACGCAUGUCGUGAUAGGGAUAGAUCAUUGCAAUUAUUGAUCUUGAACGAGGAAUUCCUAGUAAACGCGAGUCAUCAGCUCGCAUUGAUUACGUCCCUGCCCUUUGUACACACCGCCCGUCGCACCUACCGAUUGAAUGUUUCGGUGAAGAUUCCGGAUAGGACUUUUUUGAUUUAUUUCAAUUCUGUCUUAAAAGCUAUCUAAACCUCAACAUUUAGAGGAAGGUGAAGUAGUAACA
rnacentral:rRNA from 1 species